UACAGAGGGUGCUAGCGUUGUUCGGAAUCAUUGGGCGUAAAGCGCGUGUAGGCGGCCCGGUAAGUCCGCUGUGAAAGUCGGGGGCUCAACCCUCGAAUGCCGGUGGAUACUGUCGGGCUAGAGUGCGGGAGAGGCGAGUGGAAUUCCUGGUGUAGCGGUGAAAUGCGCAGAUAUCAGGAGGAACACCAAUUGCGAAGGCAGCUCGCUGGGACGUUACUGACACUGAGGCGCGAAAGCGUGGGGAGCGAACAGG
rnacentral:rRNA from 1 species